CACGGAGUUAGCCGGGGCUUCUUCUGCGGGUACCGUCAUUAUCUUCCCCGCUGAAAGAGCUUUACAACCCUAGGGCCUUCUUCACUCACGCGGCAUGGCUGGAUCAGGGUUGCCCCCAUUGUCCAAGAUUCCCCACUGCUGCCUCCCGUAGGAGUCUGGGCCGUGUCUCAGUCCCAGUGUGGCUGAUCAUCCUCUCAAACCAGCUAUGGAUCGUCGGCUUGGUAGGCCAUUACCCCACCAACUACCUAAUCCAACGCGGGCCGAUCCUUUGGCGAUAAAUCUUUCCCCCGAAGGGCACAUCCGGCAUUAAUCCCAGUUUCCCGGGGCUAUUCCGAACCAAAGGGCACGUUCCCACGCGUUACUCACCCGUCCGCCGCUAGGACCGAAGUCCUCGCUCGACUUGCAUGUGUUAAGCCUGCCGCCAGCGUUCGUUCUGAGCCAGAUCAAACUCU
rnacentral:rRNA from 1 species